AAUUUUGAGCAGUCGCGGUUUGCUUUAUGCAAGCUGAGGAAAGUCCACGCACGCACAAACUGAGAUGUUUGUAGUGUUCGUAUUCAGCUCAAUAAGCUGGAGGAUACAUUUAGAGUGUAUCACGGCGGAAAAAAUGCUAAGUCUUUGAUAUGCAUGACUAUCCUUGAAAGUGCCACAGUGACGUAGCAAGAUGGGAAACUGUCUUGGUGGAACGAGGUAAACCCUGCGAGCGUGCAACCCAAAUUUGGUGGGGGCGUUUCGACCUAAGAAAAUGAACUAAAGGUCGGGUUAUUACUUUAAUUAGUAAUAAAGAUAGAUGGCUGCUGAAGGUAUUUUUGCCAAAAAUACUGGAACAGAACGUGGCUUAUAGAA
rfam:Lactobacillus sp. ASF360 genomic scaffold acMPL-supercont1.2, whole genome shotgun sequence.